rnacentral:rRNA from 1 species
UGGUGGAGCGAUUUGUCUGGUUAAUUCCGAUAACGAACGAGACUCUAGCCUAUUAAAUAGUUCGCCGAUUUUUCGAGUCGGCGUCAACUUCUUAGAGGGACAAGUGUCAUAUAGGCACGCGAGAUUGAGCAAUAACA